UACAGAGGGGGCAAGCGUUGUUCGGAAUUACUGGGCGUAAAGGGCGCGUAGGCGGCCUGUUAAGUCGAACGUGAAAUCCCCGGGCUCAACCCGGGAACUGCGUCCGAUACUGGCAGGCUUAAAUUCGGGAGAGGGAUGCGGAAUUCCAGGUGUAGCGGUGAAAUGCGUAGAUAUCUGGAGGAACACCGGUGGCGAAGGCGGGUCUCUGGGCCGAUACUGACGCUGAGGAGCGAAAGCAUGGGGAGCGAACAGG
rnacentral:rRNA from 1 species